GACUUCCGGACGCCAAAGGAAGUGGCUCAGGGACGCAUGCGUAAUGUCUCCGCGGUAAUUAAAGCAAUUUCCUCGGCCGGCGUGAGGGGACCCCAGUCCCUCGGGGUUAGCGUUCCUGUCACCUGGCCUUUGUCUCCUCCGCGCCCGAGCGGGGUCGCAGGCUCUCGAGCUCCUCCCGCUUCCCAUUGCCGGCUUCCCUCCGCUGCGCGACUCUCAGUGUUUUAUUAUAUCCGUGUGCACACACUCCGCCCAGGCAAGCAUCUGUGACACGCCAGGCGCUGUGCUGCGGGCCAGGUGUGUUUUAGGGGAGCUUCCAGACAGCUCUGGGCCGUUAGGAGCUGGCAGUCUCCUGGGGAGGGGGCUGGUUGCAGACAAGUCCCGGAUGGGGAUCGGUGCUGUGAAGAAAAGGGGCUAGUGAUGGAGGAUCAGGUGUUAUACCUUCGGAAAGCAGGGAAGCCUCUGAGGAGAGAAGGUGACUUUAAAAAAAAGAUGCUCCAAGAGUUUCACUGAACGUCACUUACACACUGUAACCUAUUUAAAGUGCACAUUUUGAUGAGUUUGGAAAGUUUAAUACAGUCGUGUAAGCAUCAUCACGGUGCAGUUUAGACCAUUUCCAUCACCCCCAAAAGUUCACAAGAGGAGCUGCCUUUUGAAGUGGGACCUGAAAAUUGGCACUGAGAAAGCUGGGGAUUUGGGAACGUAUCUGAGUUUCCUGGGCUUCAAGAAAAAUAAUGAAAUGUAGACAUACUAGGUCUGAGCGCAUUAAUAAUCUCAAAAAGCGACUCCCUCCAUCGGGGGAGGCCUUGUCACCCCAGGUUGCAGGAACAGCUGGUAGGAAUGCUUCAAACUGGGAGGCGCUUGUUGUGUUCACAGGCAGAAAGGAAACCCUCAGAGCUGGGGUGCUCAAGGAGGGAGUGAGAGACUGGGUAGACUAGAGAUGAACACCUGCCUUCUGAACUUGUUGUGGGUUCCCAGUGUCCUGCACAACAUACGGUCCGCAGAGGCUGAUUAAUGCUCCAUGGUUGAGGAGAAGGAAGGAACAGAGGUUUCAGGCACUAUGUGUGCAGCUUCACUUCAAGUGGAUCUUAGUGUCUAUUUUUGUAGAUGAGAAAGUGUUAGUUGCUCAGUCGUGUCCAACUCUUUGCAACCCCGUGGACUGUAGCCCCACAGGCUCUUUUGUCCGUGAGAUAUUCCAGGCAAGAAUACUUCAAUGGGUUGCCAUGCCCUCCUCCAGGGUAUCUUCCUGACCUGUGGAUUGAACCCUGUC
rnacentral:lncRNA from 1 species